rnacentral:lncRNA from 1 species
AGAAGCAAAGGCCUGAGAUGGAAAUCUUUAAAAGGUGUUGAGAAGCUGUGAAGGACACAUAAAUAUCAUAAGGUUCAUGGAAAGACUGCCACGGCAUUUGCCACAAGAACUGUAUGGUGGAUUGAAAAGACAUUGAGCUUUGAAGCCAGAACAGACUUGGUUUUGAGUGGGCUAGCUUCUCCAAGAAAGAGACCCGUGAUCUUGAACUAUUCACCUAACCUCCAGGUAUAUUACUUUCCUAAAUAAAACAAGGUUUGAAUAAGACACUCAGAAAGUUUCCACUGAAUGACAAAGCAUAUGUGAAAGCAUGUGGCAUGUACAGGAAUUCAAACAGUGUUGAUCUCUUCAAUGAAAUAAACAAUAAUUAUAUUUCUAACAUAUAUUUGAAGAAAUUCACUCAAGAAGUUUGACAUCGUUAACAUUCUAUUAAUUUAUUAUUAUUACCAAAGAGCUAUGAGAUUUUCUUGAAUAGUCUGC